CAGCUCAGUGACAACUCCAAAGGACUCUCAGGGAAGACCCUCAAGGUCGAAGGACCCCUGAACCUUUCAGUCCACUGGAGCCACCGGGGGGUCCCCAACCUCUGAGAUCUAAUGCCUGAUGAUCUGAUGUGGAGCUGACAUAAUAAUAACAGGAAUAGAGUGCACAAUAAAAGUAAUGCGUGGGAAUCAUCCCAAAACCAUUGCCCUCCCGGAUUUGUGGAAAAACUGUCUUCCAUGAAACCAGUCUCUGGUGCCAAGAUGUUUGGGAACCUCUGCUCCACACAUGGGCUAGCCUGCAACUCAGCAAUGCUGCCUCCACGAAUUCAUCUGAGGCAAAGACUCACCCCAAAGUCUGUGGUGCUGCCUCUCACCCCAGAGGGCACAAGAACUUCUAUCUGACAAGAGCUAUUUCUGCAACAGAUGAAAAUAAAAGGGC